AUUGAACGCUGGCGGCAGGCUUAACACAUGCAAGUCGAGCGGCAGCGCGGGGCAACCUGGCGGCGAGCGGCGAACGGGUGAGUAAUGUAUCGGAACGUGUCCUGAGAUGGGGGAUAGCCCGGUGAAAACCGGAUUAAUACCGCAUACGAUCGAGAGAUGAAAGUGGGGGACCGCAAGGCCUCACGUCUUAGGAGCGGCCGAUAUCUGAUUAGCUAGUUGGUGGGGUAAAGGCCCACCAAGGCUUCGAUCAGUAGCUGGUCUGAGAGGAUGAUCAGCCACACUGGGACUGAGACACGGCCCAGACUCCUACGGGAGUCAGCAGUGGGGAAUUUUGGACAAUGGGGGCAACCCUGAUCCAGCCAUUCCGCGUGAGUGAAGAAGGCCUUCGGGUUGUAAAGCUCUUUUGUCCGGGAAGAAACGGUUUCAACUAAUACUUGAGACUACUGACGGUACCGGAAGAAUAAGGACCGGCUAACUACGUGCCAGCCGCCGCAGUAA
rnacentral:rRNA from 1 species